CAGCAGCCGCGGGAAUACAGAGGGUGCAAGCGUUAAUCGGAAUUACUGGGCGUAAAGCGCGCGUAGGUGGUUUGUUAAGUUGGAUGUGAAAUCCCCGGGCUCAACCUGGGAACUGCAUCCAAAACUGGCAAGCUAGAGUAUGGUAGAGGGUGGUGGAAUUUCCUGUGUAGCGGUGAAAUGCGUAGAUAUAGGAAGGAACACCAGUGGCGAAGGCGACCACCUGGACUGAUACUGACACUGAGGUGCGAAAGCGUGGGGAGCAAACAGGAUUAGAUACCCCUGUAGUCCCUGUCUCUUUACA
rnacentral:rRNA from 1 species